rnacentral:rRNA from 1 species
GACGAAGGAUGCAAGCGUUAUCCGGAUUCAUUGGGUUUAAAGGGUGCGUAGGCGGCCCGGUAAGUCAGUGGUGAAAUCUCCUUGCUUAACAAGGAAACUGCCAUUGAUACUGCUGGGCUUGAGUACAGAUGCUGUGGGCGGAAUAUGACAUGUAGUGGUGAAAUACAUAGAGAUGUCAUAGAACACCGAUUGCGAAGGCAGCUCACAAAACUGUAACUGACGCUGAGGCACGAAAGUGCGGGGGAUCAAACAGG